CAGGCCUAACACAUGCAAGUCGAGCGGCAGCACAUGGGAGUUUACUCCUGAGGUGGCGAGCGGCGGACGGGUGAGUAAUGCCUAGGGAUCUGCCCAGUCGAGGGGGAUAACAGUUGGAAACGACUGCUAAUACCGCAUACGCCCUACGGGGGAAAGAGGGGGACCUUCGGGCCUCUCGCGAUUGGAUGAACCUAGGUGGGAUUAGCUAGUUGGUGAGGUAAUGGCUCACCAAGGCGACGAUCCCUAGCUGUUCUGAGAGGAUGAUCAGCCACACUGGUACUGAGACACGGCCCAGACUCCUACUGUAGGCAGCAGUGGGGGAAUAUUGCACAAUGGGGGGAAACCCCUGAUGCAACCAUGCCCCGUGUUGUGAAGAAGGCCUUCCGGGU
rnacentral:rRNA from 1 species